rnacentral:rRNA from 1 species
CGUUGUCCGGAUUUAUUGGCGUAAAGGCUCGUAGGUGGUGAUCGCGUCGAAGUGUAUCUGGGCUACCCUGAGCGUGCUUUCGAUACGGGUUGACUUGAGAAAGUAAGGGAGAAUGGAAUUCCUGGUGGAGCGGUGGAAUGCGCAGAUAUCAGGAGGAACACCAGUGGCGAAGGCGGUUCUCUGGGCCUUUCCUGACGCUGAGGAGCGAAAGCGUGGGGAGCGAACAGGCUUAGAUACCCUGGUAGUCCACGCUGUAAACGGUGGGUACUAGGUGUGGGGUCCAUUCCACGGGUUCCGUGCCGUAGCUAACGCUUUAAGUACCCCGCCUGGGGAGUACGGCCGCAAGGCUAAAACUCAAAGGAAUUGACGGGGCCCCGCACAAGCGGCGGAGCAUGCGGAUUAAUUCGAUGCAACGCGUAGAACCUUACCUGGGUUUGACAUGGAUCGGGAGCGCUCAGAGAUGGGUGUGCCUCUUUUGGGGUCGGUUCACAGGUGGUGCAUGGCUGUCGUCAGCUCGUGUCGUGAGAUGUUGGGUUAAGUCCCGCAACGAGCGCAACCCUUGUUCACUGUUGCCAGCACGUUAUGGUGGGGACUCAGUGGAGACCGCCGGGGUCAACUCGGAGGAAGGUGGGGAUGACGUCAAGUCAUCAUGCCCCUUAUGUCCAGGGCUUCACGCAUGCUACAAUGGCUGGUACAGAGAGUGGCGAGCCUGUGAGGGUGAGCGAAUCUCGGAAAGCCGGUCUCAGUUCGGAUUGGGGUCUGCAACUCGACCUCAUGAAGUCGGAGUCGCUAGUAAUCGCAGAUCAGCAACGCUGCGGUGAAUACGUUCCCGGGGCUUGCACACACCGCCCGUC